rnacentral:rRNA from 1 species
GUGGGGAAUUUUGGACAAUGGGCGCAAGCCUGAUCCAGCAAUGCCGCGUGCAGGAAGAAGGCCUUCGGGUUGUAAACUGCUUUUGUACGGAACGAAACGGUCCUGGCUAAUAUCCGGGGCUAAUGACGGUACCGUAAGAAUAAGCACCGGCUAACUACGUGCCAGCAGCCGCGGUAAUACGUAGGGUGCGAGCGUUAAUCGGAAUUACUGGGCGUAAAGCGUGCGCAGGCGGUGCUGUAAGACAGGCGUGAAAUCCCCGGGCUCAACCUGGGAAUUGCGCUUGUGACUGCAGUGCUGGAGUGCAGCAGAGGGGGAUGGAAUUCCGCGUGUAGCAGUGAAAUGCGUAGAUAUGCGGAGGAACACCGAUGGCGAAGGCAAUCCCCUGGGCCUGCACUGACGCUCAUGCACGAAAGCGUGGGGAGCAAACAGGAUUAGAAACCCGGGUAGUCC